rnacentral:rRNA from 1 species
UCGGGAAUUUUGGGCAAUGGGCGAAAGCCUGACCCAGCAACGCCGCGUGAAGGAUGAAGUAUUUCGGUAUGUAAACUUCGAAAGAAUAGGAAGAAUAAAUGACGGUACUAUUUAUAAGGUCCGGCUAAUUACGUGCCAGCAGCCGCGGUAAUACGUAGGGACCAAGCGUUGUUCGGAUUUACUGGGCGUAAAGGGCGCGUAGGCGGCAAUUCAAGUCAUCUGUGAAAUCUCCGGGCUUAACUCGGAACGGUCAGAUGAUACUGCUUUGCUAGAGUGCAGAAGGGGCAAUCGGAAUUCUUGGUGUAGCGGUGAAAUGCGUAGAUAUCAAGAGGAACACCUGAGGUGAAGACGGGUUGCUGGGCUGACACUGACGCUGAGGCGCGAAAGCCAGGGGAGCAAACGGGAUUAGAUACCCAGGUAGUCCCUGAGCGGGCUGGCAAGGCGCAU